AACACAUGUCAUGUGGUGCAUCAUCAUGCCAAGUCUCAUCUGUUUCACUAGCUUCUGCAAGCAUUGGUUCUUCAUAAUCAACAAAUUCAUCAUCAUUUUCACCCUUACCUUCUGAUUCUGGAUAAUUGCAAAAUACAUCUGAAAGAACUGGUACCAUACUAUCAUCACCAAGCAUUAUAGGCCCUGGCACUGGUUCACCACUGUUCCUGGAGACUUUCUUGCUAGUAAAAACAUCUGUUGAAGCUAGACUGAACAAUUUGCCUCUGGAUUUGCAUCCUUACAAGGAACCUCUGCAGAAAUGCUUGUAACCAUUAGCAGCAGUGGGCUGGUGGCUCAUGUUGUUGUUUCCCGAAUGGAUUAUGGAGUACACAAAAUAGUAUAUCUUUUAGUUUUUUUAAGAUUAGUACAUGUGUUUGAUUUUCACUUGGUAGUAAACAUUGUGUAAACAGUGGCACAGUAUGCAUCACAUACAGUGAAGGUAAAGACAUUAGUUGGAAUCUAAUAAACUAUUUACAUUCACUGUACAAUGAUCAAAAUAAAUGAAGUAUUGAGCAA